UACAGAGGGUGCGAGCGUUGUUCGGAAUUAUUGGGCGUAAAGGGCGCGUAGGCGGUGCGGUAAGUCACCUGUGAAAUCUCCUGGCUCAACUGGGAGUCUGCAGGCGAAACUGCCGUGCUGGAGUGUGGGAGAGGUGAGUGGAAUUCCCGGUGUAGCGGUGAAAUGCGUAGAUAUUGGGAAGAACACCGGUGGCGAAGGCGGCGAGCUGGUCCAUUACUGACGCUGAUGUGCGAAAGCGUGGGGAGCAAACAGG
rnacentral:rRNA from 1 species